CCUACGGGAGGCAGCAGUGGGGAAUAUUGCACAAUGGGGGAAACCCUGAUGCAGCGACGCCGCGUGAGUGAAGAAGUAUCUCGGUACGUAAAGCUCUAUCAGCAGGGAAGAAAAUGACGGUACCUGUCUACGACUCCCCGGCCAACUACGUGCCAGCAGCCGCGGUACUACGUAGGGGGCAAGCGUUAUCCGGAUUUACUGGGUGUAAAGGGAGCGUAGACGGGAGCACAAGUCUGGAGUGAAAUCCCGGGGCUUAACCCCGGAACUGCUUUGGAAACUGUGCGGCUGGAGUGCAGGAGGGGUAAGCGGAAUUCGUGGUGUAGCGGUGAAAUGCGUAGAUAUUAGGAGGAACACCGGUGGCGAAGGCGGCUUACUGGACUGUAACUGACGUUGAGGCUCGAAAGCGUGGGGAGCAAACAGGAUUAGAUACCCUUGUAGUC
rnacentral:rRNA from 1 species